rnacentral:lncRNA from 1 species
CGGUGAAGGUAACGAGACUCGAGGAGGAAGCAACAACAACAUCCCAAUUGACAUUCUUGAAUCUCCCAAAGAGUACAUCUUCUACGUUGACAUCCCCGGAAUCUCCAAAUCCGACAUCCAGGUAUUGUUACGGUUUAAUAUGCUGAACCUAAGUUCAAAAAAAAAAAAAAAAAUGCUGAACCGACCGGUUUAAUAUGCUGAACCGACCGGUUUAAUAUUCUGUUAUUGGUUUAUUAGUUUGUUACCACUCUUUCUUCAGUAUAAGUAUAAGAAGAGUGAUCAUUGUAACCGUUUAUUUUAAUCAGAAAUUAAGGUAUUGUAAAAUAGAGGGUGUAGAAUAGAUUAGUCGGUUUAGUAUGUUGAACCGACCGGUUCGAAAUUCUGUUAUUGGUUUAUUAGUUUGUUACAACUCCUAUGAUUUUUUUU